GUUCAGAGUACGUGAAACCGUUCAGGGGUAAACCUGAGAAACCCAAAAGAUCGAAUGGGGAGAUUCAUCGUCAGCUCAUUUUGUAUAUGUAUGAGUUAUGAUGCGAGUUACUCUUGUAGUAUUGCUUGUACAUACUUAUACAUUUAAUUGCAAUAUGUUGUCGGCGUGCACUUCUCCCCUAGUAGAACGUCGCGACCCGUUGGGUGUCGGUCUACGACCCGAGUGGUAGCCUUUAAUAUUUUAUAAUAUUAAAGACCCUUGGUGUUUUCUGACCGGCUGCCCGGCGGUACUCGUACGGUAUUUAGCCGCAUUUUUUUGCGUCCAUGUCCGUCGCAAGCGAGGCUAAUUUCUGAUAGUACGGACCUAGUGCCGUCGUUGGGAUUCGCCAGCUGUUGGUUGUAUGGAAUUCUAGGACUGGCUAAAAUAAUUACCGGUCGGCGAUGCUACUGCUUUGGGUACUUUCAGGACCCGUCUUGAAACACGGACCAAGGAGUCUAACAUGUGCGCGAGUCAUUGGGAUUUUUUUUAAAUUAAACCUAAAGGCGUAAUGAAAGUAAAGGUCGUCCUUGCGUCGACCGAGGGAGGAUAAGUUGUGUUAAGAUACAGCUUCGCACUCCCGGGGCGUCUCAUUCUCAUUGCGAGAAGAGGCGCACCUAGAGCGUACACGUUGGGACCCGUACUCUUGUAGUAUUUGGUAGCGUUGGUUGUAUUUUUUUUAAAUUUAAGAUA
rnacentral:rRNA from 1 species